CAUUGGGACCACAACCCCACUCCAAUGGGACCACAACCCCACUCUAAUGGGACCACAACCCCACUCUAAUGGGACCACAUUAGCACUUAUUCCCCUCCUCAGACAGACAGACAGCUCUUAUACCUCCUUACCCCAACUUGGAGACUUUACAGUCAGUGGUCCAACCAACUACACUACUACACUACUACUACACUACAGUGGACUACACUACUACUACACUACAGUGGACUACACUACUACACUACUACUAUACUACAGUGGACUACACUACUACACUACUACUAUAAUACAUUGGACUAAACUACUACACUACUACUAUACUACAGUGAACUACACUACUACUAUACUACAGUGGACUACACUACUACUACACUACUGUGGACUACACUACUACACUACAGUGGACUACACUACUACACUACUACUAUACUACAGUGGACUACACUACUACACUACUACUACACUACAGUGGACUACACUACUACUACUAAUAUACUACACUACUACUACUAUACUACAGUGAACUACACUACUACUACUAUACUACAGUGAACUACACUACUACUACUAUUAUACUACAGUGGACUACACUACCACUACUACUACUACUACUACUAUACUACAGUGGACUACACUACCACUACUACUACUACUAUACUACAGUGGACUACACUACUACUACAGUGAACUACACUACUACUACUCCUACUACUACAGUGAACUACACUACUACUACUACCACUACUACUACAGUGAACUACACUACUACUACCACUACUACUACUAUACUACAGUGGACUACACUACUACUACUAUACUAAAGUGGACUACACUACUACUAUACUACAGUGGACUACACUACUACUACUAUACUACAGUGAACUACACUACCACUACUACUACUAUACUACAGUGGACUACACUACUACUAUACUACAGUGGACUACACUACUACUACUACUACUACUACUAUACUACCAGGACUUCUCCCUAUUUGAAACUAUGGAUCUUUAUUGCCUCACCUCUAACUCCAGACCGUUCUUCAACUCUGGGCUGACCCUUUAACCAGGUCUAAAACCAGGACAAUACCAGGACAAAACCAGGACAAUACCAGGUCUAAAACCAGGACAAUACCAGGGCGAACCAGGUCUAAAACCAGGACAAAACCAGGACAAUACCAGGUCUAAAACCAGGACAAUACCAGGACAAUACCAGGACAAAACCAGGACAAUACCAGGGCGAACCAGGUCUAAAACCAGGACAAUACUAGGACAAUACCAGGUCUAAAACCAGGACAAUACCAGGACAAAACCAGGACAAUACCAGGACAAUACCAGGUCUAAAACCAGGACAAUACCAGGUCUAAUACCAGGACAAUACCAGGACAAUACAAGGUCUAAAACCAGGACAAUACCAGGACAAUACCAGGGCGAACCGUUGGACCAUGGAUGAUGUUAUCAUGGAUUAUAACAAGGGUUCUUUUUUUGGAACUCUAAAGACAAGUGUCGUUAGACCAGGACUAACUAACUGGCAAAGGAACAGAACUUUAAGGACUCCAGAAGGUUCCGCUCUUUUCCUCAUGUUCCAAGAGGAGUACAACUACAGAACUGUCUGGAAUCAACACAUAAUAUUCCAGAAACAUUUUGUUUGCAUCCCAAAACAGCACCCUAUUCCCUAUAUCGUCCACUACUUUUGAAUUUUGCAUAUAGUGCAUUAUAUAGUGCAUUACUUUGAAAGUAGUACACUACAUAGGGAAUAAUAGGGUGCCAUUUGGGAUCCUUUUCGUUGAAUAAGCCCCUCCUCUCUAAACGGUCUGGGGAUCCUUUUCGUUGAAUAAGCCCCUCCUCUCUAAACUGUCUGGGGAUCCUUUUCGUUGAAUAAGCCCCUCCUCUCUAAACUGUCUGUCGCAUGGAUAAAAACGUGUUUUGUUUUUUGAAAGGUUCCAAAACGUUUGUAUAUUAAACGUUGUGAUUCCUCCAUGUGUCGAGUAAUAAAAAAGUUUGAAAUAAUCUGUGUGUGUGUGUACACCUGUGUUUGUGAAUAUGUAGAGAAGUACUGCUAUAAUACAAAAUGGGCCUGGAUAGGUAUUUUACAUAUCAGUUAACCACAUCAUAUGUUACAGCAAUCUGUCGGUCGAUGACGUGGCACGCCUACUCCUGCUCCUUCCCGCCGGCGCUCGACGUCGAUGGUCUACUAACCAACGGUCCUGGCAACCAUCACACCUGGACUUCAUCACCAUCCUGUUUACUCUCCCUUCAGAGAUGUUCCAUCGGGCUCAAGUCCGGGCUCUGGCUGGGCCACUCAAGGACAUUCAGAGACUUGUCCCGAAGCCACUCCUGCGUUGUUUUGGCUAUGUGCUUAGGGUCGGUGUCCUGUUGGAAGGUGAACAUUCGCCCCAGUCUGAGGUCCUGAGCGCUCUGGAGCAGGUUUUCAUCAAGGAUCUCUCUGUACUUUUCUCCGUUCAUCUUUGCCUCGAUCCUACCUCUGAAAUACUUCCCCACAGCAUGAUGCUGCCGCCACCAUGCUUCACCGUAGGGAUGGUGUCAGGUUUCCUCCAGACGUGAAGCUUGGCAUUCAGGUCAAAAAGUUUAAUCUUGGUUUCAUCAGACCAAAGAAUCUUGUUUCUCAUGGUCUGAGAGUCUUUAGGUCCCUUUUGGCAAACUCCAAGCGGGCUGUCAUGUGCCUUUUACUGAGGAGUGACUUCCAUCUGGCCACUCUACCAUAAAGGCCUGAUUGGUGGAGUGCUGCAGAGAUGGUUGUUCUUCUGGAAGGUUCUCCCACCUCCACAGAGGA
rnacentral:lncRNA from 1 species